UAGAUACCCUGGUAGUCCACGCCGUAAACGAUGGAUACUAGCUGUUGGGAGCAAUCUCAGUGGCUAAGCGAAAGUGAUAAGUAUCCCACCUGGGGAGUACGUUCGCAAGAAUGAAACUCAAAGGAAUUGACGGGGGCCCGCACAAGCGGUGGAGCAUGUGGUUUAAUUCGAUGAUACGCGAGGAACCUUACCAAGGCUUAAAUGUAGAUUGACCGGUUUGGAAACAGAUCUUUCGCAAGACAAUUUACAA
rnacentral:rRNA from 1 species